rnacentral:miRNA from 1 species
AACGUUUCAGCCACCAUCCGUGGCUUUCAUCAGGAUCAGUUCAGUGAAAGCCACGGAUGGUGGCUGAAACGUU